AGAACGAACGCUGGCGGCGUGGAUAAGACAUGCAAGUCGAACGGGAUUACUUUUGUAGCAAUACAGGAGUAGUUCAGUGGCGUAAGGGUGCGUAACACGUGGGCAAUCUGCCGAUUGAAGUGGGGGAUAGCUCGCCGAAAGGCGAAUUAAUACCGCAUGUGGUUAAGGGAGGAUUCUCUCUGACACCAAAGCCGGGAUCGCAGCAAUGCGACCUGGCGCUUCUUGAUGACGCCCGCGGCCUAUCGAGUCGUUGUUGGUGGCCGGGUAACGGCCCAC
rnacentral:rRNA from 1 species